rnacentral:rRNA from 1 species
GAUGAACGCUGGCGGCGUGCCUAAUACAUGCAAGUCGAGCGAACGGACGAGAAGCUUGCUUCUCUGAUGUUAGCGGCGGACGGGUGAGUAACACGUGGAUACCCUACCUAUAAGACUGGGAUAACUUCGGGAAACCGGAUCUAAUACCGGAUAAUAUUUUGCACCGCAUGGUUCAAAAGUGAAAGACGGUCUUGCUGUCACUUAUAGCUGGAUCCGCGCUGCAUUAGCUAGUUGGUAAGGUAACGGCGUACCACGGCAACGAUGCCUAGCCGACCUGCGAGGGUGAUCAGCCGCACUGGGAGUGAGACACGGUCCAGACGCCUACGGGAGCGAGCCGUAGGGAAUCGUCCGCAAUGAGCGAGAGCCUGAGGGAGCAACGCCGCGGGAGGGAUGAAGGUCGUCGGAUCGGAAAACUCUGUUAUUAGGGAGGAACAUAUGUGUACGUGACUGUGCACAUCUUGACGGUACCUAAGCAGAAAGCCACGGCUAACUACGUG